CACGUAGGGGGCAAGCGUUGUCCGGAUUUAUUGGGCGUAAGAGCUCGUAGGCGGUUCGGUAAGUCGGGUGUGAAACCUCCAGGCUCACCUGGAGACGCCACCCGAAUACUGCUGUGACUUAGAGUCCGGUAGGGGACGCGUGGGAAUUCCGUGGUGAGCGGUGAAAUGCGCAGAUAUCAGGAGGACACCAGCGGCGAAGGCGGCGCUCGUGGGGCCGGUGACUGACACUGAGGAGCGAAAGCGGUGGGUAGCAAACAGG
rnacentral:rRNA from 1 species